rnacentral:rRNA from 1 species
UACGGAAGGCAGCAGUGGGGAAUAUUGCACAAUGGGCGCAAGCCUGAUGCAGCCAUGCCGCGUGUAUGAAGAAGGCCUUCGGGUUGUAAAGUACUUUCAGUCGUGAGGAAGGUGUUAAGGUUAAUAACCUUAGCAAUUGACGUUAGCGACAGAAGAAGCACCGGCUAACUCCGUGCCAGCAGCCGCGGUAAUACGGAGGGUGCGAGCGUUAAUCGGAAUUACUGGGCGUAAAGGGCACGCAGGCGGUUAAUUAAGUUGGAUGUGAAAUCCCCGGGCUUAACCUGGGAAUGGCAUUCAAGACUGGUUAGCUAGAGUCUUGUAGAGGGGGUAGAAUUCCGAUGUGUAGCGGUGAAAUGCGUAGAGAUGUGGAGGAAUACCGGUGGGCGAAGGCGGCCCCUGGGACAAAGACUGACGCUCAUGUGCGAAAGCGUGGGGAGCAAACAGGGAUUAGAUACC